AUACGUAGGGAGCGAGCGUUGUCCGGAAUUACUGGGUGUAAAGGGAGCGUAGGCGGGAGUGCAAGUCAGAUGUGAAAUGCAUGGGCUUAACCCAUGAGCUGCAUUUGAAACUGCAUUUCUUGAGUGAAGUAGAGGUAAGCGGAAUUCCUGGUGUAGCGGUGAAAUGCGUAGAUAUCAGGAGGAACACCGGUGGCGAAGGCGGCUUACUGGGCUUUUACUGACGCUGAGGCUCGAAAGCGUGGGGAGCAAACAGGAUUAGAUACCCUGGUAGUCCACGCUGUAAACGAUGAUUACUAGGUGUGGGGGGACUGACCCCUUCCGUGCCGCAGUUAACACAAUAAGUAAUCCACCUGGGGAGUACGGUCGCAAGGUUGAAACUCAAAGGAAUUGACGGGG
rnacentral:rRNA from 1 species